GUGUCAGCAGCCGCGGUAAUACGUAGGGGGCAAGCGUUGUCCGGAAUUAUUGGGCGUAAAGCGCGCGCAGGCGGUUUUUUAAGUCUGGUGUUUAAACCUAGGGCUCAACCUUGGGUCGCAUCGGAAACUGGGAGACUGGAGUGUAGGAGAGGGAAGUGGAAUUCCACGUGUAGCGGUGAAAUGCGUAGAGAUGUGGAGGAACACCAGUGGCGAAGGCGACUUCCUGGCCUAUAACUGACGCUGAGGCGCGAAAGCGUGGGGAGCAAACAGGAUUAGAUACCCUGGUAGUCCACGCCGUAAACGAUGAGUGCUAGGUGUUAGGGGUUUCGAUACCCUUGGUGCCGAAGUAAACACAGUAAGCACUCCGCCUGGGGAGUACGCUCGCAAGAGUGAA
rnacentral:rRNA from 1 species